GCCUAGCCAUAAAAUAUUUACUCACACUUAAAACCGCCAGGGAAUUACGAGCUCAAGCUUAAAACCCAAAGGACUUGACGGUGUCCCACCCAUCUAGAGGAGCCUGUUCUAUAAUCGAUUCUCCCCGAUACACCUCACCCCUUCUCGCCUCUCAGUCUGUAUACCUCCGUCGCAAGCUUACCAUGUGAACGAGACAGUGAGCUUAAAGAUCCUCCACCCAUACGUCAGGUCAAGGUGCAGCUAACGAAGGGGGAAGAAAUGGGCUACAAUUUCUAACCUAGAACAAACGAAAGACCACAUGAAAAUCAGUCAUGAAGGCGGAUUUAGUAGUAAAAAGAAAAUAAAAUGUUCUUUUUAAUAAGGCCAUGGGACGCGUACACACCGCCCGUCACCCUCUUCAAUAUGCCUCUACCUGUUUUUAACAUCUCCCUAGCACGCCAGAAGAGGUAAGUCGUAACACGGUAAGCGUAC
rnacentral:rRNA from 1 species